GCAGUGGCUCAGGAGGUAUAGCAGGUCGUCUGGCAAACGAAAGGUUGCUGGUUCAAUCCCCGGCUCCUCCGAGCUA